rnacentral:lncRNA from 1 species
AGAGAUUAAAUGGAAGGGUACAUCCAUCCUCACCUCGCUCCCACACACUGCCCCACAGCCUAAGCCUGUCCCAGCCCAUGAAUGCCAGGCACUGCCCUGGAACCCAGAUGCCAGCUGGUCAUUUCUAAAGGCUCCCUAUUUGAUUCUAAAGGUUCUCUAAUGAUACUUUUCCAGAAAAAGAUAUACAUAGGCUAGAACAACACCCCCACCUUGCAGACCCGCCUUCUGGAGGAGUGAGAGUGACAAGGCAGCACAAGGAACACAAGUGAGGUGCUGACAUUCGCCCUUGGCAGGGCAGAGUCCUGCCAGACCAAGUGCCUCUCCUCAGCUCCACAGGGCUUGGAAGUUAGGAAAGGGAAAUUUCUAUUCCCACACUUUAAAUUGCUGUUACUUCGACUACGCUGCUUUGCUCUGGGCUGUGUGCUCCGAUGGCCCUGCCAGCUCUCAGGCAGUCAAACAGCUUUCCCUCCAUCCAGUUUGAGCAGCUCUACACCUAAAAUCAUGCCCUGAAGAGACACUCAGAGGCAGUUCCCCAACACCCCAGACCCUGGGCUGCGUUACCCCAUUUUGAGAUCUCAUCCCAGGAGCUCCAGGGCAAACUCCCCCUCCACCAGCGCAGGGACAAUGUUGCCAGGCAAGAAGAGACAGCAGAGCAAACACUCCAGCCCACCCCAUUGUCAGCUGCUGUGCUGGAUUAAACAAGACCAGAAUUCACUCCUCUUAUUGCAGGACAAAUUAAUUGAUAACAGAACCAGUCAAAGCAGAUGUGGUCGUGGCCUCCUGAACUGCCCUAUUGCAAGGAAAGGGCUGAGCAACAUCAAAGACAAAGGUGUUUUUCCAACCUAUGUCUCAGGUUCUCAUUUGGAGGAGAUCCUGACACUCAUCUUUUGCCUCUGCCCAUUGAUUUACUUCUGGUAAGAAAGCCAGCAGACCAAGGGAUUCUGGCUAGAAGACAGCCACUGAACUUUCCAGCCUAGGUUCUGGACAUCCCAGAACAUGGAAUCAUGUAACAGAGAGAGCUGUGCCACAGCUGAAAUACAACCAGAAUGUCUAAAUGACUGAUCCACCCUCACUGAGGAAACCUGCAGCUUAUCAAGGGCUCUGAGCUCAUAUCCCAGGAUUUGAUACAGGGCUCUAGCUACUCUUCCAUCAUUCACAUGAGUAGAGUUACUACACAGCACACUGACUAUCUUGGAAUUAAUUUCUUUUCACUCCAGUAAGACAGUUCAGCAGCACAACUCGGUGUUCUGAGGCGUCCCAGGAGAGUUGCACAGCACUGGCUACCAAGAGAUGCUCAGUUGUUCCACUUUUAAGUGUCCUUGUGCCCAUUAUAACAUUGUAAUAAAAAUAACCAGAAGCGGGUAUGUGCUCCCA